ACUGCCCUGUAGGAAGACAAGAGGCAGACGUGAAAUAAGGCUCAGCAACAGCACAAAAAUGAAGCUCAGCAGCUUUGCAUUUCAAUAAAUACUGUGUUUCAUAAUUUUUGUUUUUACCAGGUCUUUGAUUGUAUAGUAAAAAUUGUCUUUGUUGUUUCACAACUCUGCAUCAUGCAAAAACUCCAUGUAAAUACAGAAUUUGGGCACAGACUUCAACACUCUGGGAAUCUCAGCUUUGAUUUUAAAAACAAUGUUUCUAGUUCUUAAAGCAGUGAGGAUAGCUUUGCAGAUGUAGCGGAGAAACCCCAAUGGAACCUCAGCAGCCAAGGUGGAAGGAGCCUACUUUCUAGCACGAGGAACAGGAUUUAAGUACUGCAGACAUUGCUGCUUCUCAUCAUGAAUCUCUGUGCAAGACUUCUCCACAUUAAAGCAAAAUGAAGCACACCUCUGCACCACCAGCUUGCAGCAGCAAUGGGAAUUACCCUUUGGCACCGGGGGAAACAGUGGCAAAUUGGAAGGGCAGCAGACAGUACUUAUCCAUAUCCUUAUCUAAAACAGAAGUGUUCAAAGUAAGUUUCUACAGAAACCAGAAGGUUGCACUGCCAUGUUUCCUUCAGUCUAGUGUAGAUCCCAGGUGCCAGCAGCCAGGGCUAGUGCCUACAUGCUAUUUGGUUUCUAAGGAAGCAAGUUGUGAUGGCUGAGGCAGAAAUGGCAACUUCCAGGUCCUCUUUUUGAAAAAGAGUUUGCAAAGGUACUUCUUCCAAACAGGAGGACAGAGGAAGCCUACCGUUUCACCUUUCCAUCUCAUCCCCAGAGUCUAAUCACACCACUUCCUACACACACCAUGCAUGAUUGUGAGUCCCCACUUGUCUAUCAUACGCCCAACAUCCUAACUAAAAAUGAAAUAUUAUUUACAUGUGGUAGCUAUAGCUUUCACAACAUGACAUCUUUUCUCAACCACCAUAUCAGCACUUAUUUUGGAAACUGUUUUCCCCACAACAGAUGCAUAACUCUUAAUUUGAGUAUAUUCACGAGGAAGCCAAUAAAGUAGGAACUUUAAACAGAACAAAAACAGCAUUUGUCCAGCUCUGGCAAAAUGCAUUUCACACUAAUAUUACUUUCAAUGCCUGAGAUAUUUGAUCCUGUCUGAGGAAAGAUAUUUCUGAUACUUUUUAAAAAAAGAAAAAGAAAAACACAACUGGACAGCAUCAGGAAGGUGUGUGUGUGCGUGUGCUUCACCUAAUUUACCUCCUUCCAUAAAGCAGGACAUAUAUUUCAAGCACUUGUCCAGCUUUUCUUUGAAAACAGAAGAUUAUACAUCCUCUUCAGACAUCUUGCCCCAUUGUUGAGCUAUUGAUAUAGUUCUAAGCAGAAAGAAAAAUUGUGCAGUAUCUUGGAUAGUUCAACCCAGAAUCUCACAUAAUUUAGCCUACGUUCUAUUUUUAAAAACCCCAACUUAAUUUUUAUUAUUGCUAAAGCAAUUAGCCUAAUAGUCUAUCUGGCAAAGUGCAACCCAUUACCUAACAUGCGUUGCUAGCCUCUGUGACAGUGAGAUUUAAUGCAGCCCUUUUGAUCUGUGCCAAUCCUUAAGAAUCAUAUAAGCUCACAAACGCAUUAUUCAGUUUAACAAAAAUCUGAAAAAUCUGUGUUGGCAAAAUAUGAAAUGAAGCAACAGAAUUUUCUAGAGAAUUCUGUCCCAACUGGCUUAUGCUGUCUGAACCCUUUGUGAAAUCUAAUAAGUAGUUUUGGACUAUGAACUAUGUAGUUAACAUGCAUAUGCUUAGAUUCUGGACUAGGAAAAAGAAACUGACUUUCAAAAGUGAACUCCUUUUGUUGCAGCUUUAUUCAGUUAUGAAAACCAAAAGCCAGAUGUGAAAAACUACUAACACUGAUGAGGAAAAUAAGGAUAAUUUAUGAUUCUUUACUUUCUUAUUUGGCUAAAACUUAAAUCUGUUAAGCAUGUACAUAUUGUAACAGAUAAUGGAAGAAUUAUGAACUAAGCUGUUACUGAAAAAGGUACCCUUAAAGGCAUCACUAUGAAAGAAAAAAUGGAUUCCACCAACCACUUUAAAAUAGGUGCAGAAGCAAUGUUAGGCUUUCUUGUGAACAUCAAACAGCUCUGGGGUGUAGAGAACAGAGUUGCAGUGAUUCAAUCCCUGAAAUGUGUUCUUUAAAGUCAAAAAAUACUAUAAAUGAAAAUCAGAAUUGGAAUGAUGCCCUUUAUAUACAUAUAUAGGUUGAACUAGCCAUCCAUGGAACUCAACUAAAACUCUAAAGAGAAACAUCUUCUAUUGCUUCCAAGAAAUGUAGAAACUUGCACAGGGAUCAUAUCAUAAAAAUUUAAUCUUACAAUCCUUGAGGAAGAGAUCACUUUAAAUGAAGUGCAGCAUGCAAACAUGCUACUCUUGCUACACAAAGAAGCAGUUGUAAUCCUACACUUCUUCUACCAAACCAAAAGGAGAAUAUUUGUAACUCAAAAUAUCCCAAUGAAAGAAUGUAACCAACAUCCAUUUUUCUGUCACACAGCCCUUUAUUUGGGGUUAUAUACCAUGUACUAUAUGGGAGCUGUCCAGGGUAUUGAAAGUAAUUAUGGGUAUGGAAAGGGCUUAGGGAAGAUUCUCAUGUCACUGUUCUAUUUUCUGAAAUUGAUUAUUCUGUAAUAAAAAGCACUGCAGCAAGAAAAAUGGUCACACAAGUACAUGGUUCCUAAUGUGCGCAAAAGUUACACCUGACACCCCAUUCUUAUUCAGCUAUGUAACCUCAUGAACAACUAUGCAAGAAUCUGCCUUUAGGUCAGAUAAGCUGCAUCAAGUAUUUGGGUUCAAAACUUCCCACUUCAGAAAGAUCCUUAAAAAGGAAAUGAAGAAUAGCCCAAAGCUUGGAGCACUUCUUAACAGAACUAAUAUGGUAAUACAAUAUAUUACUUUCUUCUGUAGCCAGGAGUUUAAAAGUAGCAUGUUAACUGCCAAAAAUUAAUAAACCAUACACUUAGCAGUGCUUUGUUUAUUAAAAUAUUUAACAUGUAUUUAUGUCUGCCAACAUUCAUUAAGACACGAAUAUAUCGCCACAUUAUUAUUUCAGAAGAGGUAUCUAAAAUAUGCUGGAGAAAGUUAUCUAAUCAUUUGCACUGGAUGGGACUAAGAUAGUAAAUUGGUUCUCUUUCUUUUGUUAAAUUGGUUCUCUUUCUUUUGAAACUACUGGAUAUGGGCAUUGUGACAGUCACUGUUUAUAAGAAAAAUGCCUGGCAAAUGUAUCCAUGUUCCUUUUAUUUCAUUUUCCUGCUUUGUAAAAUAUAAAGUAUAAUUUCCUAAAAAAUCAAGGUGGCAGCAAUAAUGGAGUCCCAAUAAAGACAGGUGUGGUCUUAAGUCUGAAAUAGAGGAACUUUAAAUUUUAAAUGCAUGUAAGAGGCUUAGAAGGAGCAAUUAUAAAUAAGUUGUCCCCUACAUACUUUCCCCCUGACAGUAUGAAUGAUACUAACAGUUUGUAUAGGUGUUAUUAAUUCCAGUCAUCCACCACUUACAGAAUAGUUAUUAACUGUAAACAGUUAAUAUUUUGUUAAUCUUCCUAAAUCUAACUCUUAGUGAAGGCUACACCUUUAAGUGAACAAAUAAACACUACUCUGAUUAUUUAAGAAAAGCACUACCUGAAGUGGUUAACCCUAACAAGAUUUUGUGAAAGCCUAGUCCACUUUGAUAGCUAAAAGAUUUGAGUUGUCUCCAUUUCAAAAGAAAAUUUACUUGUUUUGCAUGGCUAGUGUUUUAACAUGUUCAGGAAGGGAUAUCUGACCAGUUUUCAAACUCUGGACCUGCAGGUAAUUCUGAAAUUAGAUACUGACCUUUCCUGAAAAAUCAGCAAAGUGAACAGAGAGACAUUUCUAUGCUCAAGCUUUUUUAAGCAAUUCAAAAUCCUUUGCAUCUGCCUUUAGGAAGGUGGAGACUGACAAAAUCUACUGUGAUUAAGGAUUUGCAAAUGUGUGGUUUACAUUUUCUGUGAAAAUGGACCAAAGGGUGAUAACCCAUCAUUUUAGGAUACUAAACCUUUGCUUCUUUCAUAAAACGACUUCUUAAAGGAAGUUGGCAUGUUAAUAAUUCAAACUCAGCAAGGAUCCCCUCGGUAAGGAUCUAUUCCUUCCUAGUGCUGAUGAAUGAUUGAGCCUAAUUUAGCUAAGUGCUGACAGGGCCAACUAAUGUUCAGCAACAAUGAUUGCAUAAACAAUGUUGUGCUUUAAGCAGCUAAGUGAUAUGAAUACCAAGGCAAGGAUACUACACCUAUUAUGUAAUUUAACCAGAAUGGCCAAAGCUUAUUCUGUUUUGAACUGUCCUGUCCAUAGAUAUCAGGAAGUAUUGGGAAUGGGUUCUUAAACAAAAACAAAAUAGUUGAGAUCCAUCCUACAUAUGUGAAAUGGGUUAGAGAGGAAAGCACAGGAGUUUGCUUCUGCAAUACUUAGUAUAGAAUGCAUCUUUACCAGCUGAAGCAGCAGCAUUUAAACAAGCCCCCAAAUAUACAUGCAUAUGCAAUCAUUCCAGCAACAUAAUCUCUAGCCUGCAGGUUGCUGAAAAUGUUCAAGGAGUUAACAACUGCAGAAAGAAUUCAAACAUUUUUUGUGUCAUUCAUUUCCAUCUGAAGCUGGUAGCUCAACUCUCAAAGUAAGACUAAGCUACUACCCAGGUGUCAACACAGCUUCAGUUUAACCCUUCAUCUAGGAAAGCUUUCUUGAUGUUCUUUCUAUGAGUUUCGGAUUUUUAUGAAUUCAUAGGAGAACCUGAACUCCCCCCCCCAAAAUGAUUUUUUUGUGUGUGUGCUAUGUCUGUACUCAUCCAGACAAUCAAAAGAAUUCAGCCUUAUUUAAUUUGAUCUGACAGUGCUGCAUAAACUGCUUUAUCUGAGAUCCAAAUAAUGCAAAUAUAUAUCUGUAUUGUACAAAACAAGUUUCAAUUUGCUUUCCAAAAGGUAAGCUCUGCAAGUCCUAAUAAAACCUUGUAACUUUUUCCAACAAAGCUACUUACCAGGAAGCGAACAUCAUCAAAGCCAUUGAGAAGCAGUUUGCUCUCAUACUGCUGUAAGCCGAUGGACUCCAGCCACUCCCCAACACUCUGCUCCAGCAUCCGUGAACCUGACGAGAGAGGAAUCGGCAGACGCUUGAAAAAGGAAAACCCAUUAAGGCGGUAGCAGCGGCACUCUGAGGAAGACAGGUGGCAUUGCCACAUCAUAGUCAUUACCAUAAAGAAGCCAAACCAAGGCCAGAGUACAACAAUUAGCUGACAGACAGUUCCUCUUCUGUACACAAACCAUGAACAAUAAGCUUCUGUCCUGUUCAAACUAGAGUGUUAAUCGGUCUCCUGGUUAUACUCAAACAAACUCUGAAUCCAAGCUGUUUAGAACCAUUCCUGGGGCCAAGGCAUCACAUGCACUGAUUUUCUGGCUCAAGUGUGCUCCUUGCCAGGCAAAAGCAUCCCAAACCUCACAAGACUCCUGGGUCAGCUCCUUGUUUCAUCUGAGGGGGCUGAAAACUUUCCAAGGCAUCAUUCCAAGCCAAGGCUACAGGCACGAGAGACAAGAGAGGGCCAGCUCACAAAUAAACACAGCCCAGCAGAUGCUUGCAUCCAUGCAACUUCAGAUGCAUUACCUUGUACAACAGGCCAGUAAGGAAGACUGUUAGCACUGGAGGUGCAAAGCAGUUAGAGAGAAAAUACAUCUUCAUGCAGCUGAGAGAGACAAACAGACACGAUGGGUGUUCAGAAAAGCAGCAGCAGCCAGAUUAGUGAACAGCUGUCCAAAGGAAGACAUGCAAGACAAAUAAAAACAAAAACAAAAAACACAAACUGCAGUAGAAGAAUAAAGAUUUAUACUUUUUUUCCCCCAACAGUCCCGGAACAGGCAAACCAUGGUACGGGCUUUUCUUUGUUAUUUUAUUAUAAGGAGUGGAAGCAUGAGGGACAACAAGCCUGAGCUUGGAAGUCCUGCCCCUGUCAUUUUAUCACCUAUCCAGAUGCAUGACAUCCUGACAGCUGGUAUUGACUGAUCUGGGCUGGGAACCAGCGUCAACAUCUAGACUGGAACAAAUAAGUAUACCGGAGCAUCCAGUCUGAGCAAAAAGAUAAAUGGUCAGCUCAUUUUCCACCCAACAUGCCUGCUCCUGCCAGUUCUUUGUUGACUUGUAUUUGCCCGUCCUUCAUUUUCUUCCACUAAAGGCAAGUACUACCUUCAAAUUCCUUACUGAGAUAAUGAACAGCUUUCAGAACAAAGCAUCUUAGCUCGUUGGUUUAAGGGGGUGAGGAAAGCCAAGCAAGAUGAACACGCCCCCUCCCCUUUUCUCCGCAGCAGAUAGGGUUAGAUAUGUCCUGGCACCUCCUUUCAGCCGGUUAGUCAGAAAUAAAUUCUUCCAAGAGCCCCGUAGAAGCUAUAUGGAACGCCUCUUCUUCCCUCCACACAUCAGAGGAGAGUCUAGGAACUUGUUACUUUCCCUGUGCAGAACUGGUGAUAUUUGAUGAAUCAAGGAAAGUUCAGAGCCCACGUCUUUGCAGUCCUCAGAGGAAUUGCUAUGCAAGUCACGCAGAAUUUUCUCAGUCUUCCUAGCAUGUCCGUCACUGAAGGGCAUUUGCAAAAUAUUGAUGAAGACACCGGGGUUGCAGUCUUUGAACCCUGUGGUUAACAGAAGUUCUGAACAUCCUAAACUAGCCUCCACCCCUUUCUUUCCAGACUGCCUACACAAUGCAGUGCUGGCUAUUAUCUGAACAAUCGAGGGGUUAGAGAUCCUGUUACGCUGGCCUUCAGAAAAGAUCCUCUGUUAAGCAAGUCAGUGUUAAUGAGUGCUCGGGAGCUGGCCAGCCUUCUUAAUGCAUACUGCAGCACAAGGGAUGCAGCACUCACAAAAGAUUUCCUCCUCCCUUCUCUGACAAAGCCUGGGCAAAGGGACAGCAUCUAUAUCCCCAAAUUCCAAGCAGCAGGCUCUUGCUGGCCAGAGAUUCUUUCCUUAUCCAGGGCUGAUUCCUUUCUACUCCAUAAGCAGGCAAAAGGACUCUGGUAUUUUCCCAGGCAAGCAUGUGUCCCUUUCAGAGAGCUGCAGCAGACUGCUUUGUCUAAAGGCAGCAAGCUCCACACUUGCAACGUCUCUCGCUCUCUCACUGGCUGUUCCCUCCCCUCCCCUCAUGCUCACACCCCUCCCAGCAGAAGCAGUGAUCAGGUUUCAGAACAGAAGCUGGCAAGGGAGAGAGAAAUAAGACGGCAGCUUUGCAAUAUUCAAAUUGCAAUUUCAAAAAUUUGUUUGAUUACCCUGAGCCAUGUGGUGUGGUUUUUCAGCAUAAAACGGAUACAGUAUGUGGGGAUUAAUUUAUCAGACGUGAGCUGAGAUUUUCAGAUACUGAAAGGUAUGCAUGACUGAAGGGAGUCAGACCAAUUGGAAACAAACAUAUUACACCAGCUUUCUAUAUGCCUGCAUGUAGCAUUUGCUUCGUCUUGGAUUAUUAAAGAUGCUUUGCCUCCACAGAUCUGAUCUGAUACUGUAGUUAUUACACCAAAGGCAACUUUUGUGAAGCUACUGGGGAACAGAAUUUCCAUUGUGGGGGGAUGAAGAAGUCAAGUUACUAAACUCUCUCAUAAUUAUUUGGGAGCAGCAGCGUACAAGGGCCCUGAAAGUUUUUAGCUUGGAUGUUCGAAAACCAGAGCCAGAAUAUAUGCAAAGGCCCUAAACAGCGUUUUCGUAAAACUCCCCACUACCAAUAAAGAAUAUGCCACUCCAGCUAAGAAGAGAACCUUCAAGGCAAAUAACCCAAUACCAAGUUGCUUCUACUGAAAGGCUGCAAAGACAUUUGGAUGAGCUGGAAAACAUGAACAGAAAGCAGCAGUAUUCUAAAGUACAUUUCAACCAGGAAGAGAGAAGCCAGUCAAUCUAACUGAACUACAGGUUCAUGUAGAUCCUCCCAAGCAUUUACAUCUCAAAAAAAGGAAUCCAUUGUUGCAGUCAAUGCCACAUUCUGGAUUUGAUUAUUUUUUUUAACCACCUCUACAUCUUUUAAAAAGUACUUUGACAAGUGGUCUUAAGUACCAACAUCUAAGCAGAUCAAAACAAAAAAAAUUCC